CCAGUGAGACAUGUGUGCAUGCCAUGCCAGCAGACUCUCUCAGCUCCUAAAGCGCUGAUGCACAAACAGCUGCCGUGUCUCCCUUUCCCUCCAUUUUCACUCCUUCUUCAACUCCUCUUUAUUUCCCUGCCUCUGUAUACUUCCCCCCCCCCCUUCCCUUCCCUCCUUCCCUCUACUUUUGUCAUUCUGCCCUGGACUUUUUUCUCAGGCAGAUAUAAAGGCAGGUCCUGUUGAAGGGAGAGAGAGGGGCUUGUGUAAUCUCAGGCUGCACAUGAACCCCGCCGAGUUACUCCUCCAACUGCAAAGGCACCGCAACAGAGGACAACUAGAGGGGGAAACUUUGGAAUAAGAAGAAGGAAUAAUACCUCUCUCUCUCUCUCUCUCUCUGUAAGACAGGAAGGGAGGAGAAGGAAUACGCACAGAGACUGUUUUAAGUUUGAGGAGCAGAGGACACAGACCAUGCCGGACUCUGUGGUGCUGCUGCUGCUGCUCUCCCUGUUGGUCCUCUCCACAAGAAGUGAUGCCAGGAGAAUCAGGAAAAGAGGACUCAACCAUAAGGACUACGAGUACCCCAACCACCCCCAGUCCACACAGCACCAGAAGAACGACCGGUGUCCACCCCCUCCUCAGAUGCUGCCGGAGCGAGCCUGCGAGGUGCCGGGCUGUCGCUCCGACUCGGAGUGCGAGCGGCACAAGCGUUGCUGCUACAACGGCUGCAUCUAUGCCUGUCUGGAGUCAGUUCAGCCACCACCAGUGCUGGACUGGCUGGUGCAGCCAAAGCCUCGGUGGUUGGGGGGGAACGGCUGGCUGCUCGACGGACCUGAAGAGGUUCUGCAAGCUGAGGCGUGCAGUACGACUGAGGAUGGAGAUGAGCCUCUUCACUGCCCCACAGGCUACGAGUGUCACAUCAUCAACCCGGGAAACCCUGCAGCAGGAAUCCCUAACCGGGGCCAGUGCAUCAAACAACGUGGCAACUCUGAUGGUCGCAGCUUGAGGCACAAAUUCUUUAAGGACUACAAGGACUACUUAGGUAAGUGAGUCACCGGCUCAAACAAUGCAGUAGGCUACGAAAAACAUCAACACAAGCACCUGGGAUGAAUUCAACCAUGACCUCAGCCUCAGCUACGACCAUAACUCAACCUCAGACAUCAGCUCAUCUCCCCCUGGAACCAGGAUCAGAUCUCAAAUUUCCAUUGACCUACAGCUGCUACCUCCUCUCACCUUCAGUACACAGCCAAAGAAAUAAUUGUGUUUUUGUUUUAUUGUCUCUCUGUAUGGUCGUGAAAGAAAGAAGCAAAGGGAUGUAGAUGGUGAAGCAGAGGAAGAGCGAGCAGGGUGUGUGUUCUCAUCAUAAAUCUCAAAGAAUGUUUGGAAACCUUGCCAUUUUCACAUUUCUUCACGGCCCUCUCUCUCUCCCUCUUCAACCCCUCUUAUUCUCGCACACGGACAAACUUGGACGCUGGUCAGCCGAGAAAAUCAAAACCACAUGGCUCUGUUUCUCAUUCACCGCAGCACGCUAUUCACAUUUUCUGCAAAUCUGGAAGGAUUUACAAGACAAAUGCGAGAAACCGCGGCUGCAACGGCGGCAUCAGCUGAAUAAAACCCAAAUGUGAACGUGAGAUUCUGUCAAUUCAACGGAAUCAAGUGUGUAUGGACUGUGUGUCAGAUUUGCAUUGGAAAACAAGAGUGAAUCAAGAGGAAAUAGUUAAUUCAGACAGAUUCUCCACCUACGACGAAAGCCCACAUUUAAAUAAACACACACACACACACACGGCGAGUGUUUGGUGCUGGAAAGAUCCAUACUAUAAAAUAUCUGCAGUGCUGAUGGUUAUAGAAGCUACUUAUAUUGUUCAUGUGCACAUCCAUCAGUUUUAUGUCUAUUGCAUUAUUGCAGCAUAAAGAAAGAGAGUUCUUUUUCAAGCUUGACUUUUCUCCACGUAAGUCGUAACUUUGUAAACUCAACUAAAAACGGUGCUCACUUUCAUAACGGAAGAAUAAACAGGUCACAUAUGCAGCGAUAAGCUGUGAACACACUAGCAGAACUAAACUGAUGUUUAAAUGUUGGUGUGUGCCUCGUUUAUUCGGAAUAAACUAUCAUUGUCAACAUUG